GGAGAGUUGGCCGAGCUGGUUUAAGGCAGCGGUCUUGAAAACCGCCGUAGGCUAACUACCUGCCGUGCGUUCGAAUCGUACACUCUCCG
rnacentral:tRNA from 1 species